rnacentral:rRNA from 1 species
AUUGAACGCUGGCGGCAGGCCUAACACAUGCAAGUCGAACGAGUGGCAGACGGGUGAGUAAUGUCAGGGAAACUGCGUUAGGGGGGGGGAAAACUACGGGAAACGGUAGCUAUUACGGAAUGCCAUCCAAUUUGCACAGAUGGGAUGAGCGUGUUGGUGGGGUAACGGCUCACAAAGGCGACGAUCCCUAGAUGGUCUGCGAGGAUGACCGGCCCCACUGGGACGUAGACACGGUCCAGACUCCUACGGGAGGCAGCAGUGGGGAAUAUUUCACAAUGGGCGCAAGCCUGAUGCAGCCAUGCCGCGUGAGUGAAGAAGGCUUUCGGGUUGUAAAGUACUUUCAGAAGGGAGGCGUUAUCCGACCAAGAAGCAACGGCUAACUCCGUGCCAGCAGCCGCGGUAAUAC